GGCGCGGAGCGGAGCGUGAGGGCCUUUAGGCCUGGACGCGAGCCCCGCAGCAUGCUGCAGCGGUGGAGACGCAAGCCAAGGUGUGGACCGGACCAGAUUCCGAGGCGCGCAGGCGCUCUCGAUCCCUGACGGCGGCCAAGGUUACACUCGGCGCUCCUGCGGGAGCGGUGCGGAGGGCUGCGGAGGUCCGGGCCCUUCUGGCGGGGCUUGUCGGCCGGCCGGAGCAGAGCCGAGACCUCCUGCGGCUUUCCGUAGAGCGUGCUCCUGGCCCGGUGUCCCGUGGAGGAAGCCGUGGACAGCCCUGAGACCUCGGAGGGCAAGGCUGAGUGCCAGGACUGUGGGAGACUGGGAUGGUGUGCAAUGGAACAAAACAGCUCGGAGGAUUCACAGCUCAGAAGCCACCAAGACAAGUGUCUUAUUUAGGUACCUAGAAGAGGUGCUUUAUCAUCUUUCCACUGAAUACUGGAAAGAUGAGUGCUUCAAGGUGGAGACUUAAUAAAAGGAACAUGUUCUCCAGUCUCCAGCAGCUGUCCCGGUUGUGGGCCUGGUGACCACUGGCAUCACAGAGUGUGGCUGCCGUGACCCACACGAAGCCCAGGACUGUCACCCAUCAGCCUUUUUCAUAGUAAAUGAUCUUGAUGUUAUGAAAAUAGCGUUGGCCUCCUCGUUUCCUUUUAUGAUUUUGAAGGUCCUGAGGCUUUUGCUCAGGCCUGGCUUUGCAGUUGAGAUAGGGCAGACAUUCCAGCGCUGCACUCUGUCCCUCUGCUGCGUAGACUUGUUUUCUACAGGGUCCACGGGUCAGACCCUCCUUUGGCUAACUGGUGCUUUGCGGUGAAGCCACUCUGCACCUCGGGUCUGCCCAAGUCCGAAGUCCACGCUCUGGCUUCUACGGAACGCAAUUGGCCGCCCUUGUUUGUCAGGUCAAUCCUCAUAGACACUGAAGGAGCAGAGAUCUUGUCAUUAGAGCUCUCCAGUAGCACGCAGCCAGCGCAUCCCUGAGACCCAGACCAUCAGCCCUGCACAGACCUGCAUCUCCUGCUCCCUCCCCGGGCCUCCUGCGUAGUCUGUGGGACUCCUCUAGAAGGGGCCAGCCGUGUCAGUGUCAGCGUGGAAACUGGGGGAAAGCAGAAAAAAACCGAUUUACACAGAUGUUCCCUCUUCUGUGUGUGAUAAAAUCAAAAACAGGAAGAUUAACAACAAAAAGUCUGUGAUUUCUGCAUCUGCAUCCCGGUGUAUGACUCCGAGGUGGCCACCCAGGUUCCAGCGGUUCGCCCAUGAAAGGGAGGAGGUGUUGGCACCUAUAUGUUUUGGGCCUGGACAUUUCGUGCUUUGCUGCACACGGGGCUGCACCCCAGCAGGCGCAGGUGCCACCAGUACCAGUUGUAGGUGGAGAAGGUGGCUGGUGUAAUGUUUUCAAAGAUAACUAUCUGCACGGUGAAAAGCUGACCUUUGAGAUUCAAAUUCAGAACCUUUAGAUUUGGAAACGGAAGCGCCACCCACUGCAAUAAGACAGCAAUGACUGCUGUCUCCUGGUCAGAUUCUAGGAAUCGUUUAUUUUCGUUCCAAGAAUGGACUGUUUUCUGGAUUUCCAGCUUUUUUUGAUGUAGGGUCACUAGUUCUCCAAAAUAUUCCCAAACAAGUUGCAUGGAUUCAUUUUUAAUCCUGUACUCAAAAGAGCCUCAUGGUUAUGGAAGGCUUGGGGCACCUACUGAGAAAUGGUGCAUGAUCUCUGUCUGGUAUGUCCCGUUUUUUAAUAUUGAUCCUGGUCUUUAGUCAUAUAAAUUAAUAAAUUGACCAAAAAAAUUAAUCAUUCACUUUGAGCCAACUCUUAUCCCUGCCCUCAGCAUCUGGUGGAUAAAAGUGAAAAGUGCCACCAGGAUUGGAAAAUAAUUUGAAAAUCUCUUUUAUCAAGGUUUUAGGACUGUAACAUACUCAAUUCCUGGACUGGACAUACAAAUUGUCCUUAUAGAUGAAGACUGCUGUGGGGAGUCCAGAGACUGGUUGAGGUUGGGAAUAAAGAAUACAAUGAAUUCA